ensembl:lncRNA
AUUUUCUACAAUAAUUUUCAUAUAGAUUUUUAAGGUUAAUAUAUAUUAAAAUCUAAAGGAUAUAAUUCAACCAGACAGCGCCCUGAUAUCAUGGUAAAAGGCCACACUUCCCACAGUGAAUGGCGAGACCGGCUACACUAUGAAACCACAUACCAUUACAGAGACUUUAAUAAUACCGCCAGCAAUUGAUAUGGUGAAAACAAUGUGUGGGGAGGCAGACACACAGAAACUCACAUCAAUACCUUUGUCAGAUAACACUGUUACACUAAGAAUUUAUGUUACCGAAUUAUGAUAAUAAUAUUACGUAUUGGAUCACUAAAAAAAUCAAACUUUUACAUUACCAUGUAGUUCACCAAUAAAAUGGUCUGAUGAUGAAGUGGACAUACUCUGUAUACAUAUCCCUAAAUAAAUACAUCUCACUACAAUACAUUUUAAUAGAAAGUUAGCAACAAAAAAAAUAGAUAAGAUCUUGCUAUCUUGGAAAGGAAAAUACAUUUUUAUUUGUGGAAAAAUCACCCUGAUUAAAUCUUUUGUCAUAUCCCAGGUUACCCUGAUUUAAAUCUUUAGUCAUAUCCCAGUUUACCCUGAUUUAAAUCUUUAGUCAUAUCCCAGGUUACCCUGAUUUAAAUCUUUAGUCAUAUCCCAGUUUGCCCUGAUUAAAUAUUUUGUCAUAUCUCAGGUUACCCUGAUUUAAAUCUUUAGUCAUAUCCUAGUUUACCCUGAUUAAAUCUUUAGUCAUUUCCCAGUUUGCUUAUGGACUUGCCUACACCUAGCGACCAGUUUAUUUUAAAUUAUAUCAGAAAAAAAUAUUCAAUUUUAUUUGGAACGGCAAGCCAGUCAAAAAUAAACGGGCCUAUUUAUAUAAUGAAUAAUGAUCAAAUAUUAAAGCAUUCAACCACCAAUCACUAACAGAUUAUUAGUCAUGUCUCACCUGAUGUUCAAGAAUGGCCUUUUUCCCCUUUUUUCAGAUUACAAUCUUUCGGUUAUUUGAAAAUGAAAUAAUCUCCAAAAUAUUGCUAUUUUUUAAAACAAGAAAGUAGAAAGUUGGUUGCAAUUUCAGUUUAAUCCACCAGAAAAUAACAAAUAAUACAAAUAUUAUGAUUGAACUCAUUGAUUAAAAAAAUACAUUAUUAAAAAAAGUUAUGAAUAAUCUUUGUAAAGGAUUUCAUAAAUAGGACUGGUAGAGUUAUGUCACACAUGCAGCUAACAAAAAUAUAUGGAAAUGUCUGCUCUAUUCAAAAUUACAACCAACUAAUUGCAGCAUUACUGCAAAAAUUGUAUAGGCAAGUGGAAGGGGGAAAAAAAGUAUAUCGGCCCUGCAUUGAAGACCAACGUUGAUUAAAGAAAAUUGGGCUAAAUGGAAAAAGUAUACCAGUUUCAUUUAAGGACCAAAACAUUUACAACUGUGCCACAUAGUUGAGAAGAGAUUUUUGAUGUACCGAUUCCAUGUCACAUGGUUUAUGAAUUGAGAUGCAAAACGAUGCUGGAUUCAAAAUGCUGAAUUUUUCAAUUUAAAUGAUUAUACAAAAUUCUUGGAACCAAUAGAAUGUUAUAUAUUUGGGGGAUACAACCUUACCAGCUCUGCAGAGUUUUACUGCUUAGUUAAAUAUAUGGCAAAUAGAACUAAAACGGAAUGGACGUUAGUUAUGACUGCUUUGUGUCAUGUGGUGUUGUCUCUAACUUCUUGCCAUUUGUGCUGUCGUCUGUGGCCAAUAAUGUGCUGUUACCAUGUUUUGUGCUGCUACCAUGUUGCGUUGCUACCAUAUUGUUAUGUUGUGUUGCUACCAUGCUGUGUUGUCAUGUGUUGCUGCCUUGCUAUGUUGUCUUAAUUCACUCUUUAUAUAGUGUUGUCUCUACUGUCGUAAUGUGUGUUUUGGCCUAUAUUUAUAUUUUAUUUAUUUUAAUUUUUUAUUCCAGCCCCCGUCCCCGCAGGAGGCCUUUUGCCUUUUGGUAGGCCGUCGUUGUAGAUAAGAAUUUGUUCUUAACUGACUUGCCUAUUUAAAUAAAAAUCAGAAAUAGAUGGGAGAGGUGAAGGUUAGAGGAAGGAUAGGAGUAAAAACAAACAAAAUAUAACUUCUGUAAAAAUGGAUUGUGUCCGUAAAAUGUAUAUAGUGUGUAUAAGCUGGAAGUAGAAGCCUAAAUGUUGUUGUUCAUUAGUUUACUCCAAUUAGGGGAGGAGUGGUAGGGUUAGGGGAAAAUACAGGGAAACAUAUUUUUAAAAGAUGUAUAAACAGUGUAUAUGGAAAGUAUUCAGACCUUUUGACUUUUUCCACAUUUUGCAACAUUAUAGCCUUAUUCUAGAAUGGAUUAAAUUGCUAAAAAAAAUAAUAUCUACACACAAUAUCCCAUAAUGACAAAGCAAAAACAGUUUUUUUAGAAUGUUUUGCACAUUUAUAAAAUAAACUGAAAUAUCUCAUUUACAUAAGUAUUCAGAUCCUUUACUCAGUACUUUGUUGUAGCACCUUUGGCAGUGAUUACAGCAUUGAGUCUUCUAGGGUAUGACGCUACAUGUUUGGCACACCUAUAUUUGGCGAUUUUCUCCCAUUCUUCUCUGCAGAUCCUCUCAAGCUCUGUCAGAUUAGAUGGGGAGAGUCGCUGCACAGCUAUUUUCAGGUCUCUCCAGGGAUGUUCUAUCGAUCGGGUUCAAGUCCGGGCUCUGGCUGGGCCACUCAAGGACAUUCAGAGACUUGUCCCGAAGCCACUCCUGUGUUGUCUUUACUGUGUGCGGUCAUUGUCCUGCGGUCAUUGUCCUGUUGGAAGGUGAACCUUUGCCCAAGUCUGUCCCUGCCACUGAAAAACAUCCCGACAGCAUGAUGCUGCCACCACCAUGCUUCAGCGUAGAGAUGGUGCCAAGUUCCUCCAGACGUGACGCUUGGCAUUCAGGCCAGAGAGUUCAAUGUUGGUUUCCUCAGACUAGAGAAUCUUGUUUCUCAUGUUCUGAGAGUCCUUUAGGUGACUUUUGGCAAACUCCAAGUGGUCUGUCAUGUGCCUUUUACUGAGGAGUGGCUUCCAUCUGGCCACUCUACCUUACAGACCUGAUUGGUUGAGUGCUGCAGACAUGGUUGUCCUUCUGGAAGGUUCUAUCAUCUCCACAGAGGAACUCUGUCAGAGUGAUUGUCGGGUUCUUGGCCACCUCCCUGACCAAGGACCUUCUCCCCCGAUUUCUCAGUUUGGCCGGGGGGCCAGCUCUAGGAAGAGUCUUGGUGGUUCCAAACUUCUUCAGUUUAAGAAUGAUGGAGGCCACUAUGUUCCUGGGGUCCUUCAAUGCUGCAGAAAUGUUUUGGUACCCUUCCCCAGAUCUGUGCCUCGACACAAUCCUGUCCUAGAGCUCUAAGGACAAUUCCUUCGACCUCAUGGCUUGGUUUUUGCUCAGACAUGCACUGUCAACUGUGGGACCUUAUAUAGACAGGUGUGUGCCUUUGCAAAUCAUGUCCAAUCAAUUGAAUUUACCACAGGUGGACUCCAAUCAAGUUGAAGAAACACCUCAAGGAUGAUCAAUGGAAACAGGAUGCUCCUGAGCCCAAUUUCGAGUCUCAUAGCAAAGGGUCUGAAUACUUAUGUGAAUAAGGUAUUUGUUUUUUAAUACAUUUGCAAAAAAGUUUUUUUUUAAUUUGUUUUUGCUUCGUCAUUAUGGGGUGUUGUGUGCAGAUUGAGGAAACUUUAAAAAAUAUAUAUUUUCGAAUAAGGCUGUAAUGUAACAAAAUGUGGAAAAGGGAAGGGGUCUGAAUACUUUCUGAAUGUAUUGCACUGUACCUUGAUACAUACAUACAGUCUACUCCUCAAUGGGUUUGGGCAUGAACGGCAACAACAUGGCCACAUCAGCGGGACACAGUGCCCUUCGCUCCCGUUUGACAAGCUCUGCUGUCCGACAAUGGCGUGGGAAGUAGCUACCUACUAGCCAAUUUAAAUACACCCAUUCAAUACACAGUACACCCAUCAUCAAUAAUUUUUUAAUACAAAAUUGGC